GUGGAAGGCGCGGAGAGCAGCUGCUACUAACUCACGUUCGCUGAAGUUCCGCCCCACUACCACCGGCCGGUACAAUCUCCGAGACCACGCAGCUUCGCCGUCGUACACUUUGACCACCUCUGACGGGAGAGAUACGUCCGGUGUACGGUCGCGAUGCUGUUUGUGGUCCGGGCGAUGGUCCUGGUCGGCGGGAGCGCCGGUGGAGCCGCCCCCGGAGCCCGAGCGGCCUUCGCAGCCCGAACUGAACUCCUCGCUCACGCUGCGAGCUGCAUCAGAACAGCCGAGUCGCACACAUACCCUACCGCUUAUUUUAACAUUCACACGAUUUUAUAACUUCAGCUUUAGAAAUCAGUUAAGUUUUGCGGAAUUUAAAAUAGUAUUUUUUAAAUAUUUAAUCUUGCGAUAGUUUAUCGGAACUUCAAUGUAUUAGAUUGUUGUCUAAAUUUUCGUUUUCUUCACAAAUACCAAACAAUACACACAUUGUUCAUAAAUGCGACUAGAUAUACAUCAACGUCAUUGAGAAAAUUCAUAACGGAGGUAUAUCGCUUGUAAGUUGCAUUAAUGAAUUCCAAAACGGACAUCGUGUAUGCAUAUUUAAAUUAUUACAGGAUUAUUUAUUGUUUGUUAUAUUAUAGUUAUUAAAGUACGUUUUUAGUAUGGCCUAAAAUUUAUUAAUUCGAUUUUAAUGAAGCACAUUUCUAAGUCAUACAAUUUAACAUUAAACUCUACACACAUUUAUUUCAUCUACCCAAAACAUCAACAAUUCAGGUUCAGGGUAACCGUAGUCUAUAGUCUGAAUAUGCCGUCACAGUAUCUUUCAUCAUUCUUUCCACACGAGGCGUGGUUGAGAUGCUUUUAAUCGUAUUGAAACUUAUUAAGGGGAGCAUAUAUAGACUAUUUACAUAAAUAGCAACACUGUGUCAUGUGCAUGUUACCUGUACCGAUGGAAUACUGCACCACGAGUAUCCUGGAGUCGCCCGAGAAAUGAUACUAGCUCAAGAUAUAGUCUACUAAAGACUGAAGGUGAAUAGCUGUGACUCCGGAAAUAAGGAAACGAAUGAUGUGAUUUCUUGAAAUAUAUAAGGAGGAACAGACGAAAGCGGAUUUCUGUUUUGCGUGUCCAAAGUUAUGGAAAUCGAGUUAUUUGAAAGCGUCCAAAGAAAGUUGUAAGAUGUGAAGGAAACCAGACAAACGAUUAUUGGUUAAAGUUGCACGCCGAGGACUUUCAGAGAUGUGCUUAUAUGUGAGUGAACGUGUGAGUCGGGGAAGCAGCAGUCAAAUCGUAUAGUGCAUGCGAUUAUUAGAGACUAUACUUGGAUUGUUAUAGGUUUUCUGACUCAAGCAGCCUUUCUUUUCCAUUGUGUAGUCUCUAAAAAUUUUUUUAAAUCAAAAAUGUGUACAGAAGUAGAUUCCUGUCAAAGGAAGUUAUAGUAUGAAGAAAGCUGCUAAACUAAUGCAU